rnacentral:misc_RNA from 1 species
UAUUUUAUUUUAUUUUAUUUAUUUUUUUAUACAUUGAAAACUGAGUAGGCUUACUGAAAUGCUAUAGAUAGAAUACAAUGGAAAAGUGAUCUCAUUCUUGCAGGCAAUUAUUCAAGGCACUCCACUGAAACAAUUUGAUUAGAACUCUGAAUCUUUAAUACUUCAAACAUUCAAAAUUCAACUGUCAAGCCAAGAGAGAAGAAAGUGUAAGAAUUCAUUUUGAGUGAAGCGACGAAAAUCCUGUAAAUUUAAAACCAUCUUAAUUAUUAGAAAUUUCGAGUUCAUUUCAUACUUUUAUAUACCACUUUAUACAUAGGUUUACAACAAACAGGAAACGAAAUUGAGUAAGAAAAAUUGGAAAAUCAAAUGUAAAAUUGCUUAGCAUUUGAUCUUCUCUUCGGUGGCAAUGGAGUUCUUGCAGUGAGCAAUUGCUGCUUGAAUUGCAGCCUGCAAUUCCUCCAUGGUACUAUCACUAGUUGGAGAAGGAAGGGUUGCAGUUGCCACAAGAAGGCCACUGUUUGUUGGAGAGGUUCUCAUGGAAGCAGGUGCUGAGAAUUCUCCUCUCCUUCCUCGCAACUCCUGCUUAUUUCUCAAGUUUAAAUUGCCUGGAAACGAAUAGGGAUUCUUGUGUAUAUGGAGAUUCUCCUUCUUUCCUUUGAAGGACAAUAAUGGCCUAACCAUUCUCACGUACCUCUUUAGUAUAUGACUUACUUCGAAUCUCAGCCUUUUCUUUUGCUUCUCCUUGUCUUCUGUUUCUCUAACUUCACACCCUUUUCGCCAUCCGAAUAAAGAGAAAGGCUUAGGCUUGCUUCUAGCUUUUGUCUCGCCAUUGCUGCUUUGAUGUUGAUUUGUUUUAUUGCUGCUGCUGUUAAUGUUGUUCUUGUUGUUGCUGCUAUUUCCGGGCUUGCUGCUGUUGUUGUUGUUACUCUUGUUGGAUUUUUUAUCAGAUAAUAAUUCUCUGAUGGGGAGGGUAAAGCUGUCCAAAGAAUUGGUGGAUGAGCGAGGAGAGGCAGGAAGGUGAGAGAGGAGAUGGAGGGGAAGCAAGUGGCCAUGGAAGAAAAUGUCAUCUGCUGGAGACAAAUCAAUAGCAAAUGAAGGAGGAGGAGUUUUGGCCUUAUCAGGGACUGUUGUUGAGGAAGAAUGGAGAGAGAUUGUGAAGGAGAAUUCAUGAGAAGGAGAGGAAGAUGCUGAAGGUGGUGAGGCAGGGGAUGUAGUGGGUACCUGUUGAUUUGCUGCCGAUAGGUCUUCUUUUCCUUCUUGUUUUAACUUGCCAUCUUCAUGCUUAUCCACAAAUUUUUCUCUAGUAUUUCUAUGCUGUAUGGUCGCCAUAAUUCACAAAACUAUGCAAGAAAAACUAAUGAUAAGAUCUGAUUCUGUAUCUGCAACUUUCUUGAAUUUUUGGGUCUAACCCUUAUUUCCAAACCUUAGGAAUUUUUGGGGGGGUGGGGUGAGAUAAGGCCUAAAGGAAUCAAGAAGUAGUGGAGAAAGAAAGAAAAGUUGGACACUGAGAGAGAGAGAAAAAGAGAGUUUCUUGUCAAUCAGCAGUUGGGUUUAAAAUGUCUUUUGUGCAAAAAUUGCAAUCCAUAACUUGGGUUAUCUUUUUGCAUUGCAAAAUUGGUAUAGAGAAAAAAAAAAAA